rnacentral:ncRNA from 1 species
GGUAGCUGAAUUAGAGAUCGGCGCCCGUUUUUUAUAGUCAAAAUAAAGUGGAGUUUAGAAUGUCUCUAAGCGUUGAAGCAAAAGCUAAAAUCGUUGCAGAGUACGGCCGUGGCGC